GUAGGUGGCAAGCGUUGUCCGGAAUUAUUGGGCGUAAAGCGCGCGCAGGCGGUUCUUUAAGUCUGAUGUGAAAGCCCACGGCUCAACCGUGGAGGGUCAUUGGAAACUGGAGAACUUGAGUACAGAAGAGGAAAGCGGAAUUCCACGUGUAGCGGUGAAAUGCGUAGAGAUGUGGAGGAACACCAGUGGCGAAGGCGGCUUUCUGGUCUGUAACUGACGCUGAGGCGCGAAAGCGUGGGGAGUAAACAGGGAUUAGAUACCCUGGUAGUCCACGCCGUAAACGAUGAGUGCUAAGUGUUAGGGGGUUUCCGCCCCCUUAGUGCUGCAGCUAACGCAUUAAGCACUCCGCCUGGGGAUACGGCCGCAAGGCUG
rnacentral:rRNA from 1 species